GCGCCAAUGGUCUAACGGCUAGGAUUCAUCCCUUCCAAGGAUGAGGUGGGGGUUCGAUUCCCUCUUGGCGCA
rfam:Neurospora crassa OR74A linkage group II, whole genome shotgun sequence.